rnacentral:rRNA from 1 species
GACGAACGCUGGCGGCGUGCUUAACACAUGCAAGUCGAACGGUGAUCCAUCAGCUUGCUGGUGGUGAUCAGUGGCGAACGGGUGAGUAACACGUGAGUAACCUGCCCCUGACUCUGGAAUAACGCCGGGAAACUGGGGCUAAUACAGGAUAUGACAUCAUCCCGCAUGGGUGUGGUGUGGAAAGUUUUUUCGGUUGGGGAUGGGCUCGCGGCCUAUCAGCUUGUUGGUGAGGUAGUGGCUCCCAAAGGCGACGACGGGUAGCCGGCCUGAGAGGGCGACCGGCCACACUGGGACUGAGACACGGCCCAGACUCCUACGGGAGGCAGCAGUGGGGAAUAUUGCACAAUGGGCGGAAGCCUGAUGCAGCGACGCCGCGUGAGGGAUGACGGCCUUCGGGUUGUAAACCUCUUUCAGCUCUGAAGAAGCGAAAGUGACGGUAGGAGCAGAAGAAGCACCGGCUAACUACGUGCCAGCCGCCGCUGUAACAC